ensembl:lncRNA novel transcript
GGGCCCCCAGUUGUUUAAAAUCAGGAGUCAGUACCCCUGGAGCUGCAGAAAGAACUCUCCUGAAUCAGUUUAGGACUAUGUUCUGUCGCAUGAUGCAGAACGGUGCCUACAGUGGGUUCUUUGAACAGCUUUCUCUUUUCUUAUUUCUUGCCCCACUUUCUGCUUGUAAAAAGGCCUAGAGGUAAGCAGCCCUGGACUGUUGCAGCUACUCAAGAAGGUGUGGCCUUUGCUUCCUGGCACUCAGAUGGCAGCUGACCUCUAGGUAUGCAUCAUUCACAUCUGAGACAGGAAAGAGAGGGAAGGACCAAGGGUGAGGGGCUAAAUGAAACAGCCAGUGAGGUCCACUCCCUUUCAAAAGCUGACCUGAAGCCUCAACCCAGGACAUCACUAGCACAUCUGGGUCACAUGGGCUUCUACGGUCUGGCCUGGGAAUCUAGACCCUCAUUAACUGCAUGGUACCCAUUGGGAAGUCUGUUCUAAUCCCACACUCAGAUCCAGUUGACAUUUUUGACAUGGACCAGACAUCAGAUUUGACACGUUUGAUUAUAGUUGAUACAGGGAAAUGCCUGUAUCAACUAUAAUCAGAUUUAUCAAGUCCAGCCGUGAGGCUGGACUUUGGAACCUGGGUGGGGUCUGGAGAGGGAGAGAAGGAAGGAGAGAAAUGUAGGUGGAGCAACAGUGUAACAAGGCUGGGGAAAGUUCUGAGACUGAUGGCUACUUUCUGAGGUGGUCCCCUACAGUUUCAAAGCUUCCCGGAGCUCCACCUCUGCUGAGAAACCCCUCACCGAGCUUCCCUUUCUGUCUGGUUCUGUUGAACGCAAACGACAUCUGCUUCCCACUCCCUGAAACUUCUCUUCAGGGUUCCCGUCAUUGGCUCAAGCUAUGGGAGAGGGCGUGUGAGACCCAGGCCUUCCGGAGGCUUCCAGAGUUAAAGCACUCCCACGGACAGGAGACAGAACUGCCUGUGGAGAAUUGCAUUAUAGCCAAGCGCCGGGAUAUAUAUUUAUCUGUGCCUGACAUUCUCAUCUCUUUUUAAAGGAAAAGCCACACAUUUGGCCAAAAGAUGAAGUGGAAAAAAUGUACUGUUGAACAAAUAUCCAGGAUGGUUGCUCAGAAUGUAUAAAAUGAUGAACUGUGUGGAAAAAUCAUGCCUGUGGCAAAUUGUCAGCAGGCUAUAUUUGGGGGUCCGAAUGCAGGGCCCCUGCCAACUGAGUUCACAGAGCCUUAGUGUUUUUCCACUUCUAUUUAUAGCGAUGCACACAUUCACACACAAAAAAUGCAGGGGACAUUGGACUUCGUUUUUAAAUGAUGAAAAUGUUCGAAAUGUAUCUGGUUUCAGCACGUGAGAGCCGCUCUGCUGUCUACGAUCAGCCUUGCUUACUGAAGAAGGGAUUAAUCAACGUGGGGAAAACAACGUAAUAGGAUCCUUUGGGAAUCUGAAAGUCUGAAAACAACUUUUUUCUCUAUUUCCUUUUUAAAAUGUAAUUCACUUCAACAAAACUUUAUUGAGCACCAACGAUGCAAAAUGUUGAAAUGGACAUCUGAUUGUUGUCUCUCAGCCUCCAUUCCUCCUGCCCCUUUUCCAGCAGCCAUUGCUUCUAGUUGGAGAACCACGUGUUUCCAGUGAGGGAGAUUCUUCUUUCCAGCUUCAGAUGUUGAACACAAGACCUGGCUUGGCCAAUCAGGGCAAGCCAUCCCCCUGGGCACAGUGAUUGGCUCAGGCCCACCCCGAGCUGGACCAAUCAGAGUGAAGAGUGAGACUUUGGCCAGGAAUGCUGAAACAAAGACUGAGCCUUAGUGUUGGAUUUGAAGGAAGAAGCCCCAGGAGCUGCUGAGAGCUGUUUUAUAACCAUGAGCCAUGUAAAAUGUGCCUCCUUCGUCUUCUCAUUCUGCCAUGAUUGUAAGUUUCCUGAGGUCUCCCCAGCCACGCUUCCUGAACAGCCUGCGGAACGGCAGGAAUGAAAGAUUCUCCCCAGUGCCUGAAAGCUUGAAGGGAUGAAUAACUCCUCCCUUCUCAGGCCCAGUCCCAAGGCACAAGACCACUUGUGCCAGCAGCCAGCAGCGUGCAUCAGCAAGACAGCAGAAGCAGGAAGACAGCCUGCUGGAAGACACUUACCCUGGCCGGAAGACAUGUACCCCUGAAGAUGGAGAAAGAGGCCUUCCGGGUACUACGUAGCAGUCACGUCAGACCGGGACACUUCCUGUUUAGAGAGGACUAUAAAACUCCGGUCCGGUAAUCACUUGGGGCUGACGCCAUUUUAGGCCUCAUCCCGCCUGCACCCAGGCACUCAUUAAAACAGCGUGUUGCCCCACACUGCCUCGUGUUGUCUGUUGGUGCGCUCUCGGGGUUCAAACCGAUACAAGAACCUUUCAAAUGGUAGUAAGAUUAAAGGUUUUUACUAAGUUAUUAAUAACAAAAAAGGCACAGAUCUUAAAUGUGCAGUUAUGAAUUUUGGCAAUUGUAUACAUUCAUGUAAUCACUACCCACAACAAAAAUAGAAUGUUUCCACCACCACAAAAAGUUUGCAACACCCCUGUACCUCUUUCUAGUGCAUUUCCAAUCAUGUCCUCAUACCUACCUACCCCACAACCAUUUUUUAAUCUCUUCCAGAGCUAACGCUUAAUACAUUGAAUUUUACAUAAUCUUAGGAUAGACUGUCCCACAUAAAGGAGACUAUCUGCAAUAAUUUAUGUUGGAAGAAUAAGAUAUUGAUGUCAAUUAAUACAUUUUGUGUCCUGGUUUAAAAAUGCUCCUACUAUUAAUUAAAAUUUUAAAGACAUUUUCUUGUGAAAGUAUAAAGGGAUACUUUUUUCUAUUUUGAACAUUAUGAGUUCAAAAGUUCAUUCUGAUAGAAAAUUUUAUUUUGUGUGUUUCAACUAUGUAUGGAUGGAAAUAAAAC